ACGUAGGUAAUGUACCUUUGGGUGGGGAAUAACUUAGGGAAACUUAAGCUAAUACCGCAUAAUGCAGCGGCUCCUUCGGGAGACAGUUGUUAAAGAUUUAUCGCCUAAAGAGCAGCCUGCGGCAGAUUAGCUAGUUGGUAAGGUAACGGCUUACCAAGGCUACGAUCUGUAUCCGACCUGAGAGGGUGGUCGGACACACUGACACUGAAUAACGGGUCAGACUCCUACGGGAGGCAGCAGUCGGGAAUUUUGGGCAAUGGGCGAAAGCCUGACCCAGCAACGCCGCGUGAAGGAUGAAGUCUUUCGGGAUGUAAACUUCGUAAGAAUAGGAAGAAUAAAUGACGGUACUAUUUGUAAGGUCCGGCUAACUACGUGCCAGCAGCCGCGGUAAUACGUAGGGACCAAGCGUUGUUCGGAUUUACUGGGCGUAAAGGGCGCGUAGGCGGCAAUUCAAGUCAGUUGUGAAAUCUCCGAGCUUAACUCGGAACGGUCAACUGAUACUGCUUUGCUAGAGUACAGAAGGGGCAAUCGGAAUUCUUGGUGUAGCGGUGAAAUGCGUAGAUAUCAAGAGGAACACCUGAG
rnacentral:rRNA from 1 species